GACGAACGCUGGCGGCGUGCUUAACACAUGCAAGUCGAACGCUGAACCCGCUUCGGUGGGGGAUGAGUGGCGAACGGGUGAGUAACACGUGGGCAACCUGCCCCCGGCUCUGGGAUAACUCCAAGAAAUUGGGGCUAAUACCGGCUGUGACCGCUGGCCGCAUGGUCUGGUGGUGGAAAGGGUUUCCGGCUGGGGAUGGGCCCGCGGCCUAUCAGCUUGUUGGUGGGGUAGUGGCCUACCAAGGCGACGACGGGUAGCCGGCCUGAGAGGGUGACCGGCGACACUGGGACUGAGACACGGCCGCGACGACUACGGGAGGCAGCAGUGGGGAAUAUUGCGCAAUGGGCGGAGGCCGGACGCAGCGACGCCGCGUGGGGGAUGACGGCCUUCGGGUUGUAAACCUCUUUCAGCAGGGACGAAGCGGAAGUGACGGUACCUGCAGAAGAAGCACCGGCCAACUACGUG
rnacentral:rRNA from 1 species